rnacentral:rRNA from 1 species
CCUACGGGAGGCAGCAGUAAGGAAUAUUGGUCAAUGGACGCAAGUCUGAACCAGCCAUGCCGCGUGCAGGAUGAAGGCCCUCUGGGUUGUAAACUGCUUUUAUAGGGGACGAAAAAGGGACUUUCUAGUUCAACUGACGGUACCCUAGGAAUAAGCACCGGCUAACUCCGUGCCAGCAGCCGCGGUAAUACGGAGGGUGCAAGCGUUAUCCGGAUUUACUGGGUUUAAAGGGUGCGUAGGUGGGUCGGUAAGUCAGCGGUGAAAUCUUCGAGCUUAACUCGGAAACUGCCAUUGAUACUAUCGAUCUUGAAUCAUCUAGAGGUAAGCGGAAUAUGUCAUGUAGCGGUGAAAUGCUUAGAUAUGACAUAGAACACCAAUUGCGAAGGCAGCUUACUAUGGAUGCAUUGACACUGAGGCACGAAAGCGUGGGGAUCAAACAGGAUUAGAUACCCUGGUAGUCCACGCCCUAAACGAUGGAUACUCGACAUCAGCGAUACACUGUUGGUGUCUGAGCGAAAGCAUUAAGAUCCAACCUGGGAAGUUACGAUCGCAAGAUUGAAACUUCAAAAGUUGAGUUAGAGGCGNGAGAGNGCGACGGACGACGACGAGGAGGUAGG